UAAUUUUUUUUUUUUGCAAAAUGAAACUUAUUCCCAUUUUUCGGUGUUGUUUUUGAAAUGCAUAGGAGUGGUGUUGUAGUUAAUGAAAGUGAGGAAGAUAGAAGGGCCACCCUACAAUAACUUGAGGAGUGAUAAAACUAUAUCAGAUAUAGGCAGCUUUGCCUAUAUCAUGGGCAAUUUUGUCAUUUCAAAUAAUUUAGUAAGAAAAGCAAGGGAAUGGGGUAUUCCCCCUCAUUCCAUAAGUUAGUUCAAUCUCUCUCCUCAACCUAACUCCUCAACCUCACUCAUCAUCCCACCCACCGGAGACCCACCCACCCACCCACCGGAACCGGAAGUUUGAAGCCGGAAUUCGCCGGAAAGAGGCGUAACUGUGUUUUUUCGUGAAUUGAAGGUAUGUUUAAUUACUUAGAAAAUUGUGUGGUUUACAUCAUGAAAUUUCUUGGGUUUUUUAAAUUUCGUGGGUUUAAUUCAUGAAAAUUGCAUGUUAAAGUUCUAAACAUGUCUUAAUUUCGUGUAUUAUAACUAGCAAAUUUCGUGUUUUUUCCAUUGGUGGGUUUUAUGGUGGUGUUAGAGCAAAUUGAGUGGGUUUUAUACUCUGAAAUUUGAUACGAGUUAUUUGAUGGUGAUUUUUGUUCUGAAAUUUGAAUUUUUACUUGUUGAAAUUGCUUAUUUUCCGGUAAUUUAUAUUACUUUGUAUUAUAGAACUUUUAGCAGUUCCGCACCAAAUACAACGUCAUGUUGUGUCAAUUCUCUGAUAUUGAGUUCUCCUUUUUUGUUGGUUUUUCAAUUAUGAUAUUGAAUAACAAAAUCGCCUUCGUUAUGCAUGGUUUACCAAUUGAUUGCUUUGCCCAAACCAGAAAGUAUUGAAACCAUGGUAUUUGGUGCGAAGAUCACCGUGCCAUUUCCAACAAUUGACCCACGAAUGAAUUCCAACAUCAACAAGUCUAUAUACUAUUUUGUAAUGUUUUGUAAUGUUUUUAGGUGGAAUUCUAAAGAGGAAAAGUUCUAUAUCUGUAGGUCCUUGUGACUAAUCAACAAUUGACCCACGAAUGAAUUCCAACAUCAACGAGUUAUUUGAUGCCGAUAGUUUAAUGCAAGUCAGGGGUGGUGGAGGAAGAUUUCACAGCGAAAUGGAUAGAUAACAAUGACAUGUUUGUUGUAUUUUGCGCGUCGGAUUGCUUUCUUUUGUAACGAUCUAAUGCAAGUGUAAUUUUAAGUACCUCACUUAGCAUUCUAAUGGUUGUAUGGAUAAUGUUAAGUACUUUGUAUGAUUAUGGUUUUAUGAAUAUGUGAACUUAUCAUUUUGUAUUUAAAAUGAAGCUUCAUAUUGUGUUUAUCAUUUCCGCUA